UUUGAUAAGAACGAACUUUAUACAGGUUGCCUACAUAUCUCGUUGAGAGAAUAAGGUCAAAACAUAGUUCAUGGUACAUAAAAUGAUUUUGAGUUUUUCUAAUAAAGGGGCCAAACCUGCUAUAGGCUGCCUACAUAUCCCACCUAGGGAAUCAGGUCAGGCGUAAUUUUCCUAUUACAAAUACGAGAUUUUGGAUUUUCUUUUCUAUAGCACACCUGAACCCUAUGUGGGUUACCUACGUAUCCUACCAAGGGAAUCAGGUCAAAACGUAGUUUCUAAGUACAUGAUAAAUGAAAACUAUAUUACAUAAAACCUAUCUAAAAUCUUCCUUUAUGUAGUGUCUUGACUCCCCUUGAACAAGUAGUCAUCGUGCUUGAGCACUCCCAUAGUAGUCAUAUAUCCUUGGAUGGUUGUUUGAACUCUCAGUCAUGCUUCGAAGUCUUCCUUGAAAUCAGAAUUUGUUCAUUUGUUUCAUUGUGUCACGAUCUUAAUUGGCAGAUUUGAUAAUUUAUAUUAAAAAAAUAGAAAGUAAUACAUUGUAAAAAGUUAAACAAAACAGAAAAUUCAUUCAUAGAUAUUGCAAUUAAGCUUUCAAAAGAUGAGGCAACACAACAUAAUGUUUUAGGCACGAUCAAGCCUCAAUUUUAGAUCAUUCUAUUUAAAAAAUUAUUUCAAAAUACCAAUUACUUGUUCAAUCUACCAAGAACCCAGGUAUGGAGUACAAGUCCAAUUCUUCCAAUCUUCUUCUGAUUCAGCAUUCCAAAUAAUUGGUGUCUUUUUAGUAGUGGCAGUAUCCUCUGUUGGUGCUAGUUCUAGGACGAUCAGUGAUAGUGCAUCUCUUCCAACCUUUUUAAUUAGCACAAUGGUCUCUUUCAAAUCCUAAUCUUCUUUGGUAAUUAUCAUGUUCACAUUGAUAUUCCCAUGAUUUGGCAGAGGGUUGUUGCUCACAUUGGGCUAUGGUCCAGCAAGGUGAAUUGAUCCUUCUUUGUUUAAGACUUCAAUUUUGUUUUGAGGUCCAUAACAAUCUUUGGUAUCGUGCCCAACAAUUCCAGAAUGAUAUACACAAUGCUUGGAACCAUCAAACUAUUUUAGAAUAGGAUCUGGGAUUUUCCCUCAGUGGGUUGUAUCAUACUUGCUGUUAUCAACCUUUCAAAUAACUAGGCAUAUGUUUAAGCUUAUUUGGUAUAGCUGGGAGUGGUUUUGAUUUCAGGAUUCGGAUGGGCCCUAGGUGCAGUAUGUGGAUAAUUUUGGUGGUUUGCAGCUUGGACAUGCUUAUAUGGAUGUAGAGUUUGGAAAGUAGGGGCUCGAGGUUGGUAAUAAUUUUCCUGGGUUAUAUAGACAUGAUAGGUAGUUGGUGAAGAAUAGUAAAGCAUUUGAGAAGUUUCACCAUAAUGGUAAGGAUAGAUGGGUUGAUGUGGUUGAUUUAUAGAAAGGGGUCUAACUUGUCUUAUGUCCUUGGUCAAUCACGGCAGUAAAUAUAUCUUCCUUCUUCUUCUUGUUCCCGUUGAUAGAACUAUAUUGAAUUGCUUUGCUUGCAGGUUGCAAAGUCGUAUAGUCUUCAAAUCUCCCUGACUUAAUCCCAUCUUCCAAGAUUUCUCCUAUUCUAACGACUUCCAUAAACUUUUGUCCCAUCAUAGUUAUAAUUUUUUCAUAGUACAAACUAUUAUCUUGGCAUUUAAUGAAAGUGGCAGUCAUUUCACCUUCACCCAUUGGUGGUUGGACUUUAGCUGCUUCUGCCCGCCAAUAUAGCGCAUCUUAACGAAAUGUCUCAGUUGGUUUCUUUUUCAACUUUGCCAAGUAAAACCUGUCUGGUGUGAUUUCAGUAUUGAAUUUGAAUCGAUCCAUGAAUUUUUGUGCCAUAUCAUUCCAUCCACACCAUUUACGAAGAUCUCGUUAUAUGUACCAAGCGAGAGCUUCACCAGGCAAACUUCUUAUGAACAAUUUUAUUCUGAUAAUUUCAUUUCUCCCUACUCCUACCAACUUGUCAUAGUAGGCCCUCAAGUGUGAAUGAGGGUUACUAGCUCCAUUGAAAAGAUGAAAUUUUGGCGGUUUGUGUCCUAUUGGCAAGUCAAUGUCUGGUUGCACACAUAGAUCAUCAUACUCUAGGCUAUUGCUUCCCCUGGUAGUUUGGAGGUUUCUCAUUGCUUCCUUAAGUUCAAGAAUCUCUCUUGCUAAAUCAUUGUUGGCUUUGUCCUUAGCAUCCUUCUCCAUUUCCUCGUACUGGUCAACCUCGGGUUAGAACUUCAUCGUUAUUAAAUUGGUAAAGGUUUGCUUUCCCUUGCAUAUACAGGAGGAACAUAUUGUGCGUAUGGUAUGGCAAUAUGUGCCCCGUCCAUAUACUGGGAGAGAUAAUUUUAUGUGUUAGGAGUAUUUUGGAUUGGAGGUGGUGGAGGAUUACAAGGGUUAUUAGUGAGUGGUUUUCUUGGUUGAGUUGAAGGAGUAGUUAUGGGUGACAGAUAAGUAUAAGCAGGUGGAGGAACGCAGAGAAUAUGAUCUAGAGGUUGACUUUGUGGGUUAACAAGUGGUGGAUUAGGAGGAGAGACAUAGGUAGUGUAGGUGGUUGGAUGACUUUAUGGAGGGGUGUAGGUAGGUGGUUGAUUCAGUGGAUUUUCUGAGGUGGCUAAAAGUGAAUUAUUAUUGAUAGAUGGGGGAUGCUGAGCAGGAAAGUGUUUGGGAAUCAGUGAAUCAAGUGAUGAAAACGUGGUGGAUUUUAUGCAGUANNNNNNNNNNNNNNNNNNNNNNNNNNNNNNNNNNNNNNNNNNNNNNNNNNNNNNNNAAUUCAAUUCUCCCCCUAGAUCCUAGACCUCUUGAGUCAAUCGGGCGACAUACUCGUCAUGUUGAUUAGUAGCUCUAGCUUUAGAAGUUUCAAGAGGUUCGCUGAUAACUAUGACAUUCCCAGUACCAAUUGGAUUAGGUUUAGCCGGAUCAGACAAUGAUUUUCCUUCCUUGAACAGCCCAACUACGUCAAGGUAAUGUUGAUGACAUAGAUCUGGUGAAGUAAGGAUGGUCAGCCAGCUCGAAUGUCAAAACGAUCAACCUUUAUUGGGGGUAAAGAAAAAUUUUAAUAAAUACAAAGGUAAAGAGUUAGUUUAGGUUAUCAGACAAGAGCAUUCGCAUUAUGUUAAACAUAAUGUCAAGAAAACGCAUCCUACAUUAUGGAACCUUUCUUUGCCAGAGAUAAGGCCUACGUCCAAACAAAUUGAUAUAGAUAGAUCCAGAUUCUGUCACGUUUAGAUUUAGGACAAUUCAGAAUUUUCCAAAAAGAGAAUAACAAAGUAAAACUACGACGACGAUAACAAAAGAUGUCGCAUGAGUAUGAAAUAAUAGAGUAGGAUGGAAUGGUUUGUUUGUAAAAGGAAUUCAAAGAAGGGAAGAAUCUUAAGGCCCCACCACUAGUUGAAGGAACUUAGGGAUACCUAAUGCAAAUGAAGUAUUGAUAACAAUAGGUAAUCGUAAACUACACAUAUGUUUAUUAAGUUCAAAGAAAACACACGAGGUACAUAAAUAUACAUCUUAAGAUAUGCGAAAAGUAACACAAUUUAUUAUCAAAAUACACACGCAUGUUUUAACGAGAUGUGCGAAUAGAGAGAGAGAAUUUAAAAUUAUUAUAUACAUAAUAGAAAAUUUAAAGAUUUAUAGUUUUAUAAGAAUAUAAAUUCUAGUGACAUAUAAAGUUAAGUUCGUAAAGGAAUCAAUUAUGGUGUAAGGAAAAAUAUAACGUGUAAAAAAUUAUUUAUUUAUUUAUAAGUUAUCAUUUCGUCUUCAAAAAGUAUGAAAAAUUAUUUAUUUCGAGAGUAAAUUUAUGCAAAUGCAUUUUUUGCAAAAAUAAAAAUAUAUCAAAAUAUGUUAACGUAUUAGUUUUUUAGUAAACUAGACUUAUGCACUCUUAAAAUAUGGGCAAUCAUGAUAUCAUCCAAUUAUUUGUAAUAUCUAAAAGUAGACAAAAAUAAAGGUAAUAAAAAUACACCUAUAACUAUAUAGUUGAAAUAAAGUGUGGAUAAUGAUAAUAAUAAUUUCGUUUUAAGAAAAUAAAUAAAUAAAAGUAGCAAUAACAAUAUGUCGUAUAUGAUAGAAUGUAUUUAUAUGAACCUUGUGUUUUGGAGGUUAUAGAGUCUGAAAAUUUAAAAUAAACUUAGGAAAUAAAUGUGGAAAGUAGUCAAUGAAAAUCACAUUUUUGAGUUGUUUAGGUAUUUACAAAAUUUUAAAGGGUUUGGCCAGUUAAAGUCCUUUAGCGACUUAUUUAAAAUAUUUGAUUUAGAUGAUAAAACUCAUUGAUUAAUAAUUUCAAAAACGAAAGCUAUCACAAACCAUUUUAGUCAUUUUCAAAAACACAUUCUUUCUUAAUUUGAGAUUGCACUAAAACAAAGCUUUCCACUUAUUUUUUUAAAAAAGAAGGGUGAUUCACAGAUACAAAAUUAUAAAAUAAAUGGUUAACCAUUUAUCUUUGUUAUAUCUACGGACGCUAAAUGAAUAAGCAAUUUGCAUAACAAAAUCAACGCUAAGGGAUUCAAAAUUUUAAAUAAAAUUAAGCAAAAUAAAGUUAAUCAAUUUCAAGCAAACCCACAUACAAAAACAUUCAAAGUAAUACAAGGUUAUUAAGCAAGAUCAAUGAUAACAUAAAGAAAGUAAGGGGCUAGAUACUGUAAGUUUCUAUUAAAGCGAGUAACUCCUAACGUAGGCCCCAAAGGUCUUGUCCUAUGGCUGUUGACUACAUCUUCGGGUGAAAAUAGAGUUUCAAUGAAAACUCGAACUCCCGAGUUCACAUGAAAAAUAAAAGAUAAGGAUUAGAAAAGAUAAAAUAAUCUAAUAAGGUAUGAAUGAAAAUCAGAGAAUUAUUAAACAAGAGUUACUAGGAUCAGAUCACGCUAUUUGUCUCUUCUUAUGAACUCGACCACUUGAGUAAAUAGAGAACUCAGAAUCAUGACAUACACUUCAAUCAUGUGAAUGUUUAUACCACAUAUAAUUUAGCUAAACCUAAUCUCAAAUGAAAAACACCCCCUGAUGUUAAUAUGCAUCCAAUAGGCCAACCUUUCGGGACUCUCAGAGAAGUAUAUUAUGUACAAAACUCCAUCACGAUAAUUAAUACACACAAAGUAGGUCAAAAAGAAUAAAAUGAUAUGUGAUAAAUAAAUAAAACGAUUACUAGCUGUCAGAUUACAUGUUCCUCAUGCUUACCAAUUUAUGGGCACAUAAUAUAUCUGCUAGUUCAAUAAUGAUUUCCAUACAUGUAAGAAAUAAUUGUUUUAAAAAGGGAAAGAUGGAAAGCUACAUGCACAAAAAUCUCCCUACCUUUAGCAAAGAAAUUGACUAUGUAGAUGCCAUAUUUUGGCAUAAGCAAAGUUCGAUUUGGAUGUUGUGAAUACAAAUUCAUUCACUUUUUUAGAACCUCAUAAAAUAUGAAAUCUAUUAUAAAGAAAGGGAUUGGGAAAUUCAUGACAUUAGAAUUCUAGUUACAAAAUUCACGGGUAGAUUACCACAUCAGUAAGAACUUAUUAUCCAAACCGAACUAGGAAAACAAUAUUGCUAAAGUUGCCAGCAAAAUGGAUCAAUGAACAAGGGGUAAAGUAAGGGUUCACAUAUUCAAACUCAAGAUUUAUUUCAUUUGAGACUCAACUUGAAAUUAGUCAGAAAUGCUAGUCAAUCUAAAUUCACCUUAGCACUCUUAAAACUCAAAAUUUUAAACCCAAUAGUUGGAAAUAAUUCUUAACAUUGAAUCACCAUAGAUGACGUUCAGUAGGACAUAUGAUAUCUUACAUGGAUUACCCAAAUACAAACAAAAUAAGAGCAUAAGAACUAAUAGUGAGCUAGAACUCUAUAAUGGAAGGAACAAAAAAGAUCAACCAGUGGGCAAUAAAGUAAAGCAUCAAAGUAUAAUCAUUUUCAUAACUAUAAAAUCAUUCGUAAGAGCAAACAAAGCAUAACAGAUAAAGGACCAGAUUAAUAUUUAUUUUUAGGUUUGAAAUUAGGACAGAAUAACCAAAGGCAACAGUUGAAAUAAACUAAUUGAACUACACUUGUCUUUAAAAAUCCGAUUAAAGAGGAGAUUUUUUGAAAUAUCAAAACAAAAUAACCACGUCAUUGACACAUUAUUAUGAAAAAUUAUAGUCACAAAUUAGAUAAUUAUAUGGAAUCAAAAAUUUAUACUCAGUUACCAAAAUUCAAGAAAUCAGCAUGGCUAACAAACUUGACAAAUUUCGCGUAAAGAUUUAUUUUCUAUAAUCAAUGACAACAACUUACAUUUUGGUCUAAAUUAAACCAAUACUACAUGUCCACGGAAUCAAAACAGUAUGAAAGAAGGAUGAUAAAAGUGAGAUGAAAGGGCGAAUUCGCACCUUAUGUUGGGCAGCAAACGAGGAGCUUUCCGUCAAUUAUUCCGACAACGAACUUGAUCUUUGAACUCGACUACAAUAGGAAUCGUAAAUAAUGAAAAAGUGAGAGUGUAAUGAAUAGGAGAUGAUAUCACGUGUUAUGAUUUUAUGAACCACUUUCCCCUUUUCCUUCUUAAAAAACUUGUCCUCAAUUCGGUAAAAACGUGAAUAUUUAUGUCCGGUUUGAAACCAAAAAACAAUUCAAGGAAACUAAUGGCUAAAUAAAAAUGGAUGUAUUUGACAUUCAAAAUUUGAAAGGGCUUCAUGAGUUUGGACGAUUUUGUUCAUUUAAUGCGAAUUAGAAAUAAACUUUCUAUUGAAGAACCAAUUUGGGUCUGAUUUUCUAAUAUUGAAGGGACUCACGUGUUGGUAUAGCUAAAAAGAGAGGGGAAUCUUGCAGGGGUGGUAGCCAUGUCUGCCAUGGUGCAGCUAGGGUUCCAAUUUUAGGGAAGAUGAGAAGAUAGGGGAGGAGAGAAGAGGAGAGGGAGUUCGUCAUUACUGCUGUUUUAGGAAAAGAAAAGAGUCGUAUAACUGCCUCUUGGGAAAAAG
rnacentral:lncRNA from 1 species